CAAUACGACGGUGUCCACCUACCGCCCACCGCUCUCGUUCCAACCUAGUUGGACCACCCCGUAAAAAAUCUGAGGGGAGCCGGCCUCCACGAACUCCUCCGCUGCAACGACAUAAAAGAGCCGCGUCGUCCCUUCCCUCCCGGCUUCCUGGCCUGCACCUAGCAUCUCUCCGCUUCCUCCCCAUCCGCGCCGCCUCUGACGUUGACCUCGGCGGCCGCCACCGGCGAGGUCGCACCUCGCCGGUCACCACCACCCCCGCUGCUCGAUCUUAUAUCCCUACUCCGAGGAUCCCUGUAGCCUCCUCCGGCCGCGCACCCGCGGAACCCUAGAUCUCCGAUACCCCGCGCUCCUUCCCGCCGACGGCUACCCGAUCGGAAUGGGCCGCCAUCUUCAGUAAGGUCCAAGGACCCAGGGGUACCCCCCUCCGCCUUCGCGCGUGCGCGGAGCGCCGCCGCGAUGGCCAUCCGCAUCACCGUAUCCUAUUCGGGCUACCUGGCGCAGAACCUGGCCGCGUCCUUCGGCCUGCGCUGCACCGCCGCCGCGGCUGCGGGCGCUGGCGCCGCGCCCGGUCCAGGGUGCCGCUUCCUCCAGGACGCGCUAUCCCGCCCUUUCUGCCUCUUCGCCUCCUCCCGCCACGUCGACCCCCACCAUGACGCCGAGGAUCAGAACCACCCGAAGCCCGGGCCCAAGGCUCUGUCCCCUGCCGUUGCAGCAAGAGGAGAUGGCUACUCACUGUUGCUGCCGCGAUCGUGUUCCGCGAAGGCGCCGCCGCCGGUGGAUGACCCCCCAGCGUCGCUGGCCGUGGGGCUGCUGUCGGUGUUCGCGUCUGGGAUGGGAUCGACUGGCGGCAUUGCUGGUGCAUCCUCCCUUGUUGCGUCGCCGUCAAUAUCAACCGGGCUCAACCCUGCGUCGCUCCUCCCGUUCCUGCAGGCGAGCAAGUGGCUCCCCUGUAGCGACAUAGUCGCUGCUGCAACGACGUCGCGCAGCUCAGGACGCCCAGCAGGUGCAACGGCUGCACCUACACCGCGUACAGCUGCACCAUCGCCUCGUCCUGCACCACGCGCAGCCGCUCCAUCGCCCCGUCCUGCACCAUGCGCAGCCGUUCCAUCGCCCCGUCAUGUACCAGUGCCGUCACCUGCUGUUGCUGCUCCUUCCAAGGUCGGCAUACAAGCAUUGGUUGAUAGUGCUAGCAUCGCCUCAGGUUCAGCUGGGAUUGGAAGAGGGGUCAUUGCCUCUGGUGCAGCUGGAAUGGUGAAGAAGAGUGGUGCUAGUCUUCCUGUUGGUGCAGGGGUGGGAAGGAAGACCGGUUGGCUCUCAAGGUGGGUGAGCUCAUGCUCAGAUGAUGCGAAGACCGUCUUUGCCGCUGUGACCGUGCCACUGCUCUAUAAAUCAUCCCUAGCUGAGCCGAGGUCCAUCCCAUCCAGGUCAAUGUUCCCAACAUUUGAUGUUGGUGAUCGGAUCCUUGCUGAGAAGAUUUCGUACAUUUUCCGGGAACCGGAAAUUCUGGACAUUGUGAUCUUUCGGGCACCUCCAGUCCUUCAGGCAUUGGGCUACAGCGCAGGUGAUGUGUUUAUCAAGAGAGUUGUGGCUAAGGGUGGGGAUAUCGUUGAAGUAAGCUUUUAUCCCAAUGGUACGUGAUGGUAACUUGAUUGUUAAUGGAGUAGUUCAGGAGGAAGAAUUUGUGUUGGAACCAGCCGACUACGAAAUGGAUCCGCUGGUAUAAUAACUAAUCUUCUUACCACAUGCUACUAAAGAGCCACUAUUUUGUAGUCCUACUGUGCCUGAAGGCUAUGUCUUUGUACUGGGGGAUAACAGAAACAACAGCUUUGAUUCACAUAACUGGGGUCCACUUCCAGUUAAGAACAUCCUCGGGAGAUCUGUGCUCCGAUACUGGCCACCAUCUAGGAUAACAGAUACAAUAUAUCAGCAUGACAUGGUGCAGCACACAGCUGUUGCAUCCUGAUAAUACAUUGUGGCAAUACCACGUGGUGCACGCCAAUUUCUCCUUUCCCUGCAUAGCUUUAUUGACAAUUGAUAUGCUUAGCCGUGGGGUUCUUUAUUUAUUUGUUGUAGCCUUGCCUCAAAUGUCGAUUGGGCAGCUUGGCUGACAGAUUAGUUUUUUUUUCCCUCCCUACGGGCAGAUGCUUGUUUAAAGACAGCAAUUCUUGUACUCCGUAGCUAAGAAUGAAUGCCAUAUAAAUGUUGCAGUAGAUAAGCAUCAAGGAGUGUAGGAUGAGGAUGGCAGUUCUUUUGUUUUAUGAGAUGAGAUGGUGCUCUAAACUUACGUAAAGGAAAUACGAAGCAUAGAAGAGUGCCCAAGUUGUGUUAUGUAUUUUUUUCAUUCCUUGAUCUUGGAUCAAAGAUUCAAGGCAAAGUCAGCCUGGUGCAAAGGUUUUGGUUGAAUCCUUGUAUCCUGCCAGAUAAGGUUUUUUGAUGGUGCAAUUUUGGAUUAGCAUUUGCCCUAGUAUUUAGUGUUUUUUAGUUCUGUAUUCAUUUAUGAUGUAAUACAACUUUGUGAGCAUAGUUCUGUUUGGCCUGCUUUGUUCAAUCGCAGUGCGGGUUCAAUACUACGUUGCCUGAUGUUAUUGUC